AAAAUGUGCUCACCUACUUCAGAACCAGCUUUCCAUGUAUUGGGUAACAAACAGGAGGAGAUUGCAAGGGGACCCUUACAGUUAGCAGGUUUAUGCAACUUGAUGUUUAAGCUGUUCCAUAGCCAGCUCACUGCCACCCCUCUCACAAGAAGCCUGUGGCCAUCCCUUGUCAUGACUAGGAGUGCACCCACCCCAUGCCAAAAAGGAACCAUUUCUGUCACCUUACAGGUUCAUCUGUUCAUAGUUGUUAACUGCAGCUGAAAUAUAGAGAAGACAACUGUAGAGAAGACUAAGGAGUGAAAAGCUUGCCGUAAUAAAUGAAGAACUCAGUAGCCUAAUUUGGUUCCCACCUAGCUAACACUAGAAAGUUGAGGAAAGAAGAUGAUGCUGAGACCCAGACAUAGGAUGAAGAAAGCUAAUACAACCAUGAUCAGAAGAUGCUAUACCAAUCUAAGUCCUGCUGAGAGGCACAGAGUGUUAUGUCUGUGCUGUGUGGUGUACCACGGAUGUCCUAGUUCAUGCCUCUGCUAGCUCUGUAUCUCUGAAUCCUAAUCCCUCACAAGGGUGUAAAUAAUCAUAAAGGAGCCUGUCUUGUCUAGCCUUAGAAGGGCUGAGAGGAGGCAGAACAGAGAAAAAUGUUGGCACAAGAAUAAUUUGCACAAACUGGUCUUUAGUAUAUUUCAGCUGAAAAUGUGUAGGGUUAUUUUAGAAUGUUGCCCAUGUAGUUCCUGAAGGGGAUUACACGGGGUGGUUGCCUCCAACAGUCGCAUGGCCCUGCCCUGUUCAGCCAGCCCUGGGGACAGAGCGUGCACCCAAGCAUGUAGGAGUGUUGGGGUCACGCUGAGCACUGAUCUCCCUUCUGCGCUGGCAGAGUCAGGCUGAUGUGUCAGCCCGGCUGCUUGUGUGCAGAUCAAGUGUAUCCUGGCAGCUGUCUAUCAAUGACCUUUGAGCUGAGGCUCUUCCCUGAGAUGGUACCAAGGCCACGCAGUACUUGUGGAUUUGAUGGUCUAAGAGGUUCCUUCCAGCCCUAUGUUCCAGUAACCACCAUGAGGUUUUCUAUAUUGCAGAACUAAAAAUGUCCAGGUUCAGAAGUGGAUUUUCUUCAUGAUUGAGCUGAGAUUUA